rnacentral:rRNA from 1 species
GUCCUAGCUGUAAACGAUGUAUACUAGGUGUAGUUGGACUCAACCCCGACUGUGCCGAAGCUAACGCAAUAAGUAUACCGCCUGGGGAGUACGCUCGCAAGGGUGAAACUCAAAAGAAUUGACGGGGACCCGCACAAGCAGUGGAGCAUGUGGUUUAAUUCGAUGCAACGCGAAGAACCUUACCUGGGCUUGACAUGUUAUGGACAACUCUGGAAACAGAGCUUCCCUUCGGGGCCGUAACACAGGUGCUGCAUGGCU